AUCAUUCCCUUCCCUGUCUCUUUUUUUUUUGUUUUUCUUAUUUGUAUAAUAAUCAUUAGAUUUUACAAUUUUAAAUAGCUUUUUCUUUCCAAAACCUUUGGACUGGACUAACCUGGAUCGGUCCGAUCUUGAUAACGCCGGUUUUAUAAAAAUCUUAAUAUUUUUUAGGGUUUAAACUUAAUUUGUACGAUCAUGGAUGGAUCAUCAU